AGGGCAAUGGCUCAUCCUAGGGCUGAGAAGGAAAGAGAGGCUGCUUCUACCAGGUUCUCCAUCCUGCAACACAAGGCUUUGGUAUCAGGAUGCUGCUGGCCUCAUCAAAUGAGUUAGGGAGGAUUCCCUCUUUUUCUAUUGAUUGGAAUAGUUUCAGAAGGAAUGGUACCUGCUCCUCUUUAUACCUCUGGUAGAAUUCGGCUGUGAAUCCGUCUGGUCCUGGACUUUUUUUGGUUGGACAGCAGUUGGUUGACAUUUAAAGGGCUACUGUCCCAGAAGGCUGCUUGCCUGGGCCCAUGGCACUGCCAGAAAUCACAAGACUAAGCUGAAAAAGCACAAAGAAGUUUCCUUUCAUUCCAGGAACCUCUUGGCUUGAAUAUGAAAUAGCCUCUUAGUGACACUACACUGCAAUUUCAAAUAAUAGGUUUUUUAUCACCUCUUUGAGAAAUAUCACCUUGGGUUCAUCCCAGAAAAAUAAUACAAAGUAGAAUUUUUUCAAACGUAAUCCCCUUGGGUUCCUCUCAGAAAAAAAUAGAAAGUAGAAUUCUUUCAAACUUAAUCCCCUCUUUGUAUUUGUCUCCUCUGCAUCUCUCCAAAGUAGAUGGGUAGGAGAGGGAAACAGUGCUGUAGAAAAUGGGACAAGAACACACCCUAAUAAAACAAGAAAACAUGGUUUGCCAGAGGUCUCCUUUCCCAGGCUCAAGCCUCAAGUUUCUAAUUGUCCCUACAUUACUCCCACAAAUGCCUUUCUGGGAGAGUCUUGUAUGCUAGACCUCUGCCAUCUUCCCAUCCUUUCUCCCUUCCUCCUAACCUUCACUCUUGAGAAAGACUCAUCCUGGCUUCUGUGUCCAUAGAACCUUGAAGCAGCUUUCUGGUGAGGAGGUGAGCUACUUCCUGCAAAACUACUAGUAGCUGCUAUUGAUUAAUGUAUUCUUCCAACCAGGUAAUGUAUUCCUGUUCCAACAGAAGUCUUCUUGAGACAUAUCUGAAAGUGACAUAGUAACCAGAAGGAAGAUUUUUGGAGGGUUCUUGAACUAGCUCUACAUAGGAAACUGCCAACAAUAACUUCCUGUGGCAUUUGUUAAGUUGUGAUUCUGCCCCUCACUGCUUGACUUAGUCCUCUUGACAAGGGCCAGGAGGAGAAAACAGGUCUCAAAGAACAGUGUACAUCAAAGCCUGGCUUUCCAGCAAUGCCUGACCCUGCCAAAGAAGGCAGGGAAGCCCCCACAGAGCCUCUUAGAAACCUCAACUCCCUCAGCCUCUUGUCCCAGAGCAUCACUGGCAGGUAUAGACCAAGCAUAUCCACAUCCACACUUCUGGAGGCUGAGAAGUUCAAGAUCAAGGAUUCAGGAGGUUUGGUUGUCUGGUGAGGGCUGGUCUCUGCUUCCAAGAUGGCACUUUGAUGCUGUGUCCUCCAGAGGAGAGAAAUGCUGUGAUCUCACCUGGUGGAUGGCACAAGGCCCAACUGUCACUGAGGAGGGGAAGACCCAGGAAGAAAGGUCAAAAGUCAAGCAAAUUGCCUCACUAUCCUCUCAAGUCCUUCAGAGCCUCAGGAUCCCCUGUGGACCCUGGAAGUUUUCCCCCAUCUUACUCAGGUCACUCCUUUCUCCGAGACCUUCUAAACUUUGAGGAAACUAAGAGACCUGGCCCUAAGCAUAGAUGGGACAGGAUGGUGUAAAUGUGCAACACAAACCAGCAAGACACAGGUACUCUCCUCUACCUUCCCUGCAGAGCAAACAGUGUUGACAGCAGUGAAGAUGAUGAUAAUGAUGACAACUGCAGUGUUUUGGAGAGCAAAUACCUAGGGCCAGCUAUUUUACAGAUAUCCUUAUGUUACUAUCCAAAGAAACUUUAUAAAGAGACGAUGGAAAAUCACA
rnacentral:lncRNA from 1 species